UGGCUUGGCCGCAGCCAGAGCCUUUCUCAUGAGCUGCCCCAAUAUCCAGGCUUUUAAUUCUAAAUGGGGAUUUUAUGCAAAGAUCAUCUCUUCCAGCAGUGGUGACUUCUGUCUGGGGAGGGAGUGUGGCUGUGUCUGACAGUGUCAGUGGUCCAGCAAGGUCUUCCACCACCUACAAACGUUCCUGAAACAUUCCCAGUCAUGCUGACCAGAGUCUUCUGCUUCCCAGCAGAUGCAAGUAUUUGGGCAUUUUUUGUAACAGGAGGAGAUAAAGGAGCGAGGAUGGAGAAUUUGGGGAGCAGAUGCAAGGAGCUCACAUCCAGAUGUGCAUUUCUAUGAUCAGCUGCCAUUCAGGACCCAUCUUUCUUGGGAAGCGUCACCCCGGCAGGAACACGGCGGUGCUCAUUGCACUAGCAGGAUAUUCCCAAAUUAAGCUGGGAUCUAGCGUUGGUGGAAAUCGUUCCUUGCAAUGCUUCUGGGUGAGCAGCAACUCCCGGGAGGAGGAUGGGGCAAUCCCUCCCCUGUUAUCCCCCCAGGACGUCUGGAUCCUGCAAUGGUGCCAAUAGCAGCCACGACCAUGUGGGCUCAAUGCUGCAUCUGAGGGACCUGCCGGAGCACCGGGAAAAGCCAAAUCCCUCUUCCCAGGAGAGCAGCGCAGGGGUGACCAUGCUCCCUGUAGAAACGGACCCUAAAAACCCACUUCUUGCCCCAAACUUGUUUCCAUUCCUUCUACCUGGGUGAGGGGCAGUCCCCAUGGGCCGGAGGAGCUGUGACAGCAGCACUGGACAUGGCGACACAAGCGCGUGGAGAUACAGGUUUCAGCUCUUUCCAGCAGCUUUCCAGCCCUGGAGCACUCCCUUGGGGGAUGUGCUGAGGAGGCUGGGUUAGGCUGAGUUUGGUGUCUGGAUCAUCCUUGGAGCUGCAUGAGCAGCACUGGCUGUGUGAGGAGCUUGCAUUUUAGGAGCAGGGAGUGAAUGCUGGGCACCAGCAGUGUUUGGGAUAGUGGGACUUAGAGGAAAAACCUGCCUUGCUGUCACCACAUUGGUGGCAAUGGCUUUUUUCCCCACUGAAUGGGAUGUUAGAACAUUCUAACAGGGAUCAGCUUUCCUGCACUGCUCCAUGUCUUUCCAAAACAGAGCCAAGACCUGCACCAGGCACCUUCCCCACUGCCAGCACCCUAUCAUGGAUUAGUCAGGAUAUAGGGAUGGAACAGCACUGGCAGGAGCUGGAGGUGUGAUGAGUUUCUCUGGACUCGGACACUGCAGUACAGCCAAAUCCCUCAGGCCUGAUCCCAACCCACUGUGAUUUUCCAAAGAGAUCCAUCAAUGAACAAGCUCUGGAAAACCCUCAUGCUGACACUGGUGAUGUAAAAAAUGUCUCCAAAUGGUCACUGUCCUCAUGAACCAGCCACUUCCAGCCUCAACCCUGCACUGCAUGGAGGCAGAUUUAAAGGGUGUUUGGCUGCUCCAACACUUCUGGAAAUCCCCCUGGCUGGCUAAUGCCCAAAUCUUGCAAAUCUUGAUUUAGGAAAAAUAUCCGCUUGGGAGCAGUGCUUAAAAAGCUCAAGGCCAUUUUCAAAUCCUUGUAAUGCUGCAGUUUCCUGGACAUGUGAAAGCGAGAGGAAAAAGCAGAUCAGUCUGAAGCAGGCACGAGGCCAGGGCUGGCGGCUGUGCCCAGGGCUGUGCCGGCACAGAGCAUGCAGGAGCAGGCAGGAGUGGGCAGACCGGGGGCUAUUUCAGCACCAAGCUCUCCCAGCUGCUCACCAUGACUGGACCAGCAUGGAAAGCAGGGAGGAGAGCAGCCCUUCCACAUCACCCCGGGCAGGAGAUCCAUGAAGGGCUCCCAGGGCAGACCACAGGAUCCUCGUGGACAGAGGGCUGCGGGUCGCUGCCAGCCCCGUGUGCGGGCAGGGAGCCGAGCUCCAUUAUCCCUCCUGCCUUUACAGGAAGCCACUUGGUUGUGUUGUCAAUAUAGAGAUUUUCUUUAAAAAAAUAAAAAGCAAAAUCUGGGUUCAUGGUGCCA